UACGUAGGGUGCAAGCGUUGUCCGGAAUUAUUGGGCGUAAAGAGCUCGUAGGCGGUUUGUCGCGUCUGCUGUGAAAACCCGAGGCUCAACCUCGGGCCUGCAGUGGGUACGGGCAGACUAGAGUGCGGUAGGGGAGAUUGGAAUUCCUGGUGUAGCGGUGGAAUGCGCAGAUAUCAGGAGGAACACCAAUGGCGAAGGCAGAUCUCUGGGCCGUAACUGACGCUGAGGAGCGAAAGCAUGGGGAGCGAACCGG
rnacentral:rRNA from 1 species